GGGGCCCCGGCGCCGGGGGCCGGCGAGGGGAGGCCGGGAAUCAGGGGCGAGGACCGAGGAGCCCGCGGAGGAGCGGGGUGAAGGGAUCCAGACCAGAAACGGACAAACCUCUGGUUCCCAGAGGGAGGAAAAUCCAUGAUGUCUGCUGCCGAGGGAGUUGUUGCUACAACCUCCCUGGAAUGAAGUAUUGCCAACUACCAACAGUUCUUUCCCAACGGCCAUCUCUCCAGCCUUCUUAAGUCACUUCUAUCAUCUACUGCAAAGGAAAUCUCGGAAGAGAUUUUUACCUUACUGGAAAUAGGAAUACUUGAGUAUUUUCCUAUGCUGAGCACUUAUUCCUGUCUCUAAAUGUUCUGUGUGUGUGUGUGUGUGUGUGUGUGUGUUUUAAUUUCCAGCCAACUUUAGCCAACAAGUCCUCAGAGAAUUCCUCGUGGAAAAACUUUUAAAUAGUUUUAAUUGAUUGUUUUUCUUUUCUGUUGAGGUAUAUAUUUUUUCAAUCCAUAUGGAGAUGGAGAUGACUAACAUUCUUGGCUUAAUGUGAAAACCUAAUUAAAACUAUGUCUUUCUGC